UGCCCAGACUCCUACGGGAGGCAGCAGUGGGGAAUAUUGCACAAUGGGGGAAACCCUGAUGCAGCGACGCCGCGUGAGUGAAGAAGUAUUUCGGUAUGUAAAGCUCUAUCAGCAGGGAAGAAAAUGACGGUACCUGAUUAAGAAGCCCCGGCUAACUACGCGCCAGCAGCCGCGGCAAUACGUAGGGGGCAAGCGUUAUCCGGAUUUACUGGGUGUAAAGGGAGCGUAGACGGCAGCGCAAGUCUGAAGUGAAAGCCCGGGGCUCAACCGCGGGACUGCUUUGGAAACUGUUAAGCUGGAGUGCAGGAGAGGUAAGUGGAAUUCCUAGUGUAGCGGUGAAAUGCGUAGAUAUUAGGAGGAACACCAGUGGCGAAGGCGGCUUACUGGACUGUAACUGACGUUGAGGCUCGAAAGCGUGGGGAGCAAACAGGAUUAGAUACCCGGGUA
rnacentral:rRNA from 1 species